rnacentral:rRNA from 1 species
AUGGCGCAAAAGGAGGCCGGCUUAGCAGCGAUGAGCGGCGGCAACAAGGCCAAGCCGCACGCGGUGGUGGUGGUGUACCCGCUGCAGGGCCACCUCAUCCCCGUCACGCACCUCGCGCUGCGGCUGGCAGCGCGGGGCUUCGCCGUCACGGUCGUCAACACGGAGGCCGUGCACGAUCAGACGGCACGCGCUCGGCGUCGACCUGGCGGAACACGACUUCUUUGCCGCCGCGCGCUUCUCGGGGAUGGACGUGCGCUACGAGCUUAUCAGCGACGGCCUCCCCGUGGGGUUCGAUCGGUCGCUGCACCACGACGAGUUCAUGGGCUCACUGUUCCAAGCGCUCUCUGGCCACGUCGAGGAGGUGCUCGGCCACGUCGUCGUCGACCCGGCCGCGACGAGCCUCGUCGCCGACACCUUCUUCGUGUGGCCGGCGACGCUGGCCAGGAAGUUCGGUAUCGCGUACGUGUCCUUCUAGACGGAGCCCGCGCUCAUCUUCAACCUCUACUACCAUGUCCACUUGCUCACCAACAACGGCCACUUCGGAUGCAACGGUGA